rnacentral:lncRNA from 1 species
AAUCUCUACGUUCCUGCUUUGCAGAUCCUGUCAAUAAAACCAGACCAGAUUUAUAGACUGACUGCACAGCCCAGGAAAGGACUGGAAUGCUCAACAGGGAAUGAGAUCACCAGAAAUGAGCCCAGGAACAUCCAGAGCUCACAGGAGAGGACACAGAAGUUGGAGAUGGGAACACUUUUGGACUGGAUUUUGGAUUUUGCUGCAUGAAGCUGCAAAAAAUAAAAAGUCCAAGCGUUUCUCACAGGUUUUGUGAUUCUCACUGGAGUCAAAAGGAGUGUCAUAACUAAAAAUGCAGCUGAAGGCAGAAUGACUCCCAGAUUUGCUGUUGCAAGCUCUCCACCUUGCUCUGUUACAGGACAGAUAAACACAGGCUGAGGGGCUCUUUCCCUGCCAUUUUCUCCUGGUAUUUUUUCCCUCUGUUUGGAUUCCACGAUAUGAUAUAUGAAGUGAAAUCAAUAAUCCUCACUUUUCAGGUUAAGGGCACAGCUGAAUAAAUAAUUCAUAAGUCAUUGGAUCA